AUGGUUAACAUGAUUGGUAACGAGCCAUCAAGUGAAUUAGAAUGGGAUGAGCCAUUAGGAAGAGUGCCAAUCUUUUCCUAUGGCUCUGGGCAUAUGCUAAAUGAUAUCACAUCAUCUUGUUGGUUUACAUAUUUGUUGGUAUUCUUGACGGACGUUGGGCUUAGUCCAAGUGAUGCUGCUAUUGUCAUGCUUUCCGGUCAGUUGGCGGAUGGCUUCACAACAAUCUUUGUUGGUGAACUGAUUGAUCGUUUUGGACAUUUCAAACUGUGGCAUGCAGGAGGAUCUAUUCUAGUAGCAAUUUCCUUCUCAUCUGUUUUUGGUAGCUGUUUGCCUUGCAAACUCACGGGGACUAAUUCGUCUACUCUGGAGACUGUUGGAUACAGCAUAUUUGCCUCUAUUUUCAAUGUUGGUUGGGCAGUUACCCAAGUCGCUCACAUGUCAAUGGUGAACUGCAUGACGUCAAACCCAACAAGUCGGGUUGCACUAGUGAGCUGCCGCAAUGCCUUCACCAUGGUCGCAAAUCUUAGCUUGUAUGGCAUUGCCUUGUUGAUAUUUACUCUAAUGCACUCAGUGAGUGUAUUAGUUCAGUAUCGUUGGAUUGCUUAUACGGCCAUUUCCAUCGGAUGUUGUUUUGUUGUUGCGUUCUUGAUUGGAACAAAAGAGCCAGGGUUAAAUCAACCUUCUCAGGAUAAGAGCCUGUCCAGAAUUUCAUGGGCCCACUGGUUCAAGAAAGUAUUGUACUACCAAGUUGCUCUAGUCUACAUGUGCACUAGAUUGGUAACCAAUGUUUCACAGGCAUUUCUUGCUUUCUAUGUGAUAAAUGAUUUGGGAAUGCACCAAUCUUCCAAAGCGCUGGUACCUGCUAUUAUCUAUGUAUGCAGCUUGGUAGUAUCUGUCAUGUUACAGGAGACUAGAUGGUCGGGUUGGCGUUUAAAAAACUACUUCUCAGCUGGAGCAAUGAUUUGGAUAUUGUCCGGUAUUGGGAUUGUUCUUUUACCAAGCAGAAUGCACAACUUCAUGUAUGUGCUGUCAAUUACAAUAGGAGCGGCCAAUGCACUUAUGACAGUCACAAGUAUCAGCAUGGAAGGUGUUUUAGUAGGAGAAGAUCUAAAUGGUUGUGCUUUUGUGUACGGCUCUUUAAGUUUUAUUGACAAAGUGUCAUGUGGCAUAGCGUUGUAUAUCCUCGAGUCCUAUCAAGGAAGCACCAAGAUCAGUGAGAACCAAGAAUUGGCAUAUGGCUAUUCCGUUACGAGACUCGGUUUGGGGCUAGUUCCAGCCGUCUUCUCGCUGCUUUCAGCCAUAGUAGCUCAUACCAUGGACCUCCCUGAAGCUCGACGGAGACCUCUAGUGGAGCCUCUUCUUGCCUAA
rnacentral:rRNA from 1 species